CCAUGUGACAUGCCUGUGGGUGACAGGCACAGUGCUGACUACAUUUGGUUUUCUGGGCAACUUCAUGGUCCCUUGCAGUAGUUACUUUAGAAGAUGAUCUAUAAGAAGUGGCUGGGGCAUUUAAGACGGGGAGACCGCAUGGAGAGGCCCUGAAAUGACAUGGAGAAAGGAUGUCCCAGGUGAACUCCAGCCUGUAAGGAUGGACCCUCCAGACCAGCCUGGCUGCUACCUGAAUAUCGCCAAAUGGCCCUGUCAAUACCAUAUGGAGCAGAAGAAUUGGCCAGCCAAGCCCUGCUCAAAUACUUGACCUAUAAAAUUGUGAGAUAUAAUAAAAUGGUUAUUGUUUUAAGCUAUUAAA